rnacentral:rRNA from 1 species
GAGAAUGCCGGAAUGAGUAGCGAGAAUUAUGUGAGAAUCAUAAUGGCCGAAAAUCUAAGGUUUCCUGAGGAAGGUUCGUCCGCUCAGGGUAAGCCGGGAGCUAAGGUGAGGCGGAAACGCGUAGCCGAUGCACAUACGGUAGAGAUUCCGUAGCCUCCGAAAAGUAAAGCACAGGGACGCUUCAGAAGUGUUACGCCGGGCGAUGGUUGCCCCGGUUGUAAAGGACACGAUUGAGUGGAAGGUAACAUGGAUGGAGACAAGAAAAGCUGUGUGUAUCUGGAAGGAGCCCGUACCGCAAACCGACACAGGUAGAUAGGAAGAAGAUUCUAAGGCCAGCGGGAGAAGGGUUGUUAAGGAACUCGGCAAGUUGACCCCGUAACUUCGGGAGAAGGGGUGCUUACGAAGGUAAGCCGCAGAGAAUAGGCCCAAGCGACUGUUUAGCAAAAACACAGCUCUAUGCUAAAUCGAAAGAUGACGUAUAUGGGGUGACACCUGCCCGGUGCUGGAAGGUUAAGAGGAGAUGUGAGAGCAUUGAAUUGAAGCCCCAGUAAACGGCGGCCGUAACUAUAACGGUCCUAAGGUAGCGAAAUUCCUUGUCAGGUAAGUUCUGACCCGCACGAAUGGUGUAACGAUUUGGGCACUGUCUCAACAACCUACCCGGCGAAAUUGUAGUACCGGUGAAGAUGCCGGUUACCCGCGACUAGACGGAAAGACCCCAUGGAGCUUCACUGUAGCUUAAUAUUGAAUUUUGGUAUUUCAUGUACAGGAUAGGUGGGAGACUGGGAAAUACAGGCGUCAGCUUGUAUGGAGUCACUGUUGGGAUACCACUCUUGAGGUGCUGAAAUUCUAACCUGCGUCUUUGAAUCAAGACGGGGGACAUUGUUAGGUGGGCAGUUUGACUGGGGCGGUCGCCUCCAAAAGAGUAACGGAGGCGCUCAAAGGUUCGCUCAGCAUGGACGGAAACCAUGCCAAAGAGUGCAAACGCAAAAGCGAGCCUAACUGCGAGACUGACGGGUCGAGCAGUAACGAAAGUUGGAGUUAGUGAUCCGGCGGUAUGUGAGUGGAAAUGCCGUCGCUCAACGGAUAAAAGCUACCCUGGGGAUAACAGGCUGAUCUCCCCCAA